GACGAACGCUGGCGGCGUGCUUAACACAUGCAAGUCGAACGGAAAGGCCCUGCUUUUGUGGGGUGCUCGAGUGGCGAACGGGUGAGUAACACGUGAGUAACCUGCCCUUGACUUUGGUAUAACUUCAGGAAACUGGGGCUAAUCCCGGAUAGGAGCUCCUGCUGCAUGGUGGGGGUUGGAAAGUUUCGGCGGUUGGGGAUGGACUGGCGGCUUAUCAGCUUGUUGGUUGGGUAGUGGCUUACCAAGGCUUUGACGGGUAGCCGGCCUGAGAGGGUGACCGGCCACAAUGGGACUGAGAUACGGCGCAGACUCCUAUGGGAGGCAGUAGUGGGGAAUAUUGCACAAUGGGCGGAAGCCUGAUGCAGCAACGCCGCGUGCGGGAUGACGGCCUUCGGGUAGUAAAACGCUUUCGCCUGUGACGAAGCGGGAGUGACGGUAAUGGGUAAAGAAGCACCGGCUAACUACGUG
rnacentral:rRNA from 1 species